CAAAAGCGUAUAUUAAAGUUGUUGCAGUUAAAAAGCUCGUAGUUGAACCUUGGGCUUGGCUGGCCGGUCCAUCUUUUUUGAUGCGUACUGGACCCAGCCGAGCCUUUCCUUCUGGCUAGCCUUUUUGCGAACCAGGACUUUUACUUUGAAAAAAUUAGAGUGUUCAAAGCAGGCCUUUGCUCGAAUAUAUUAGCAUGGAAUAAUAGAAUAGGACGUUAUGGUUCUAUUUUGUUGGUUUCUAGGACCAUCGUAAUGAUUAAUAGGGACGGUCGGGGGUAUCAGUAUUCAGUUGUCAGAGGUGAAAUUCUUGGAUUUACUGAAGACUAACUACUGCGAAAGCAUUUACCAAGGACGUUUUCAUUAA
rnacentral:rRNA from 1 species